GUUACGUUUGCAGUAGGCAAAAUGCUCUUAAUGAUUUUUUGAAUCCUAAUCUCAUUCCUCUUAUUCUUCAGGAUCACAAACAAGGAAAAAAGAAGAAGCCAAACCAAAGAGUUUGAAGAAAAUUACCUAAUUGGAGGAAUGGCAGACCAUAUUGAGAUUGUCACGAUAGAUGAUCAAGUUCCACUACUACUCCAUCAAACUCCUCUAAUUAUUGAUGCUGAAAAGGAUGGGAUAAAAGAAUGGGAGAAAGUGGAUAAUUUAAUUGAGAUUAAGGAAAGAGAUGGU